GGAGAAACCACGACGCAUCACGGCGGGAGCGGGGGAACCAGGUAAGUGCCGGACCGGGCAUUCGUGCGGCCGGCUUGGGGUGAAGACGCGUUGCAGCGAAGGUGAUUGCUGCUCAGGACGCGGCCGGGCAACUCCAGCCCGAACCCGACAGCUCACCUCGCAGGCGUAGGAGAGGAACA
rnacentral:sRNA from 2 species